CAGGGCCUUUUUUAAGGAUUUUCCCGUGGGGGGGGCAUUUUUUGAAAAGGGACCUUUCUGUGAGAUAAUAUAUUAGAGGGGGAUAGCAAUGGCUGAAAGCCACGUGUGUGGAAAUAUACCACGCAUGAAUGGGGGGUCUGGGGGUGUACUCCCCCAGAAAAUUUUUGAAAUUUGACUCCCGGAAAUGUCAUUUCCUGCAUUCUGAGCAUCCAAAUUUGCUCCAAAAUUUAUCCUAACUAUACUUGUAUUUGAAAUAAAUAAAGGAAGAAACACACAAAAAGUAAAAAAAAUUAACCAUCAUUUAUCAUUACUUAUUAGAGGAGGAUAGCAAUGGUCAGGUGUGUGGGGGUGUACUCCCCCAGAAAAUUUUUGAAAUUUGAACCACGGAAAUGCCAUUUCCUGCAUUCUGAGCAUCCAAAUUUGCUCUAAAAUUUAUGCUGACUAUAGUUGUAGUUGAAAUAAAAGAUGGAAAAAUGCACAAAAAGUAAAAAGGAAUAUUAACUGUAAUUUAUCAUUACUUAUUAGAGGGAUAAUCCCAAGAAAAUUUUUGAAAUUUGAAACCGUGAAAUGCUAUUUUCUGCAUUCUGAGCAUCCAAAAAAUAAAAAAAAAUAUUAACAAUAAUUUAUCAUGGCUUAGUGGUAAAAAAGUAACAAUUUAAAUCGAUUUUGUUAAACAAGAACAAAGGAUAAAGCCUAAAACUUACUUUCCGUUUAUCUAUUUGUUAAUCUUCGCUGGAUUGUUUGUAUAAUUUUAGGAAAAAGGGAC
rnacentral:lncRNA from 1 species